AUGAAGGAUGGAGACGUGUCUUUGAUUCUGAGGGAUGUGAUGAUUAACGACACUGGAACAUACGAGUGUCGUAUCUUCAGGAGAGGAACAAACGAUAAAAGGAGAGCUGUACAGCCCAUCAGCACCAUAUACCUGAGUGUUGUUCCUCCAGGACUUCAGCAGGAUGUUCACGUGAAGCUUGGAGAGGACAUCCCUCUUCAGUGUCAGAUUACCAAUGAUGAAAUAAUCUCAGUGCUGAAGUGGAGCAGACCUGACCUGAACACAGACGGCUACGUCUACUUCUACAGGAACAAACGCUCCUAUGAAAACUACCAACAUCCAUCUUUUCAUGGCCGAGUGAAGCUGAGGGACCCGGAGAUGAAGGAUGGAGACGUUUCUCUGAUCCUGAAGAAUGUCGUAUUUAAUGACGCUGAGAUGUAUAAGCGUCACGUAGCAGUGAGGAACUCCGGGAGAAGUAAAAGAGUUCACACUGAGAUAAGUCACUUCAUUGACCUCACAGAGAUUGACAGACCACGUGACUUUCGCGCAUUGCAUGCCGGGUACUCGUGGCAAAACAAUCAAAGCAAUGCAUCAAACGCAAGCAUUUGCAGCACCGCAAAAUGUUCAUUCUCCGGUUCCAAUACCUUCUUGCUUUUUCUUUGCCCCCCAAAAAAGUUAUGUACAAAACGAAGGAGAACAAUGCCGGUCCGUACAAAGACAGACUUGAUGAAAAGUCAAAGAAAAGAUACGAGGAAAAAAGUGAAAGGGUCAGACCCUUACAAGCACACAGAGUGGACAAAAGACGUUAGCGUGCUGCCCACUUUCACCACGCUCAUAUUUAUAAUUAUACGGUUCUUGGAGUGAGUGCAUACACUCAUGAAGUUUUCAGGUCACUGCAACAAGCCCAGGUACAGUUUACCGACGGAUGGGUACAGGAGCUUGAAAUACACCGUGUAGAACGAAAGACCAUCGUACAAACAAAGGUAAGUUUACCAGUCUCACAAAUCGUCUUCAUAAAUACACAUUUGUUAACCAUUUAUUAAUAUAACCUUUGAGCUCAAUGGUAAUUAAUUAGUAGUGGAAAUAAUUUCUGGUACGCAUUACAGAAAUGUAGCAGUGACAAUAAUAUUUUAUGCUGUAAUCGUACUGGGCAAUUAGUGAUACAAAAAACCGGCUUGCUUGUAACCUAUAUCACCAAUUAUGUUAUGAAAAAUGACGUAUUAACUACUACAAAACACUGACCUUUGUGGAAAUGCUUGGAGCAGACUAACAUGUGAGCUGGCGUGUUCUGGGACGUUAUAUUUGGUCUUUGAAUGGCUGCAAUCCAGGCCAUCCGUCGGCUUUGUUACUUCGGAAACAUGGCUCGAACAAUUUCUCUUCAACGACGUAAUCCGAUAAAAACCGAUCUCUUUACCCGUCGGCUUCCCGUGGCUGUCAUGCGACCGGCUAUUGCAGUUAAUAAUACAACAGCUUCUUGCCAAUUUUUGUGUUUCUUUUUAUCGCUGUGUAACUGAUUUCAAUUGAAAGCCUGCGUGCACUAGUACCUCUUGCCACGAGUUCCCAGAAUCCUUUGCGGUUUUACCCCUGAAUGACGUCACAUUUUCAAUCUCUAUUAAAAUUUUCUGCAGUUUUGACAUAGCGGGUUAACAGUAGCUAACAGUUAUGUUUUUAAAGAGAUAAACAUGGUCCCUAUAGAAACAAGAAUUGGCAUCCUGAUGUGGUGCAUUCUGGGUAUUAUUCAAAGGGUCGUGUCACUCUGUCUGUUAUCACCAACAACUGAAACCAGGAUCAGCUGUUAAAUGGAGAAACAUCACUCUGUCCACAUUCAACUCAGUUUUAUUUAUAUAAUCACAUUUGACUAAAGGUUUCACUUCAAAGUAAUUUAUACUGUCAGGUAAAGACACUACAAUAACAGAGAAAAC
ensembl:lncRNA